ensembl:lncRNA
UGUUGUUUACACGGUUAUCUGCCCUCUCAUUAGCUAGAAUGGUCCCACCUGAUCUUGCCUCCUCCCGACUGCCUUUCAUUUUUUAAGACAUUUCUUUUCAUUCUUAGAAUGGUCACUAGAGUAUCUGGUCAAUAUACUGGAUAAAGUAUUGAAGAUGACGCCGAAGGCCCGGUACCACCAGUGCCGGCACCAGGCCUAUAGUGCGCCACGGCAGUCCGGAACCUCCGACGGGCCAUAGCCCGGAACCUCCAGCGACGGGCCACGGGUCAGUGCUACAAGAGCGGACUCAGUGUAAAGAAGGGGGCGGCGUCCAGAACCAGAGCCGCCACCGAAGUUAGAUGCCCACCCAGACCCUCCCAUAUUGGUUUAGGUUUGCGUCCGGGAGUCCGCAUCUUUGGGGUGUUCGUUCUUCCAUUAAAAGAUGUACGCUUACCACGCAGCGCCUUGGUCUCCUCACGAUGAUGAACGUGACAAUUUCACGAAGAAAACCGUUACAGAAUCACCCACCAACCAAGGACCAAGCGGCGUGGUAAACAGAGGCAGCAGCAACAGCAGCAGCAGGAGAAGCGACAGGUGCAGCAGGAGAAGCGACAGGUGCAGCAGGAGCAACAGCAGCAGCAGCAAAAGCAGCAGCAGUGGGAGAGGCUGCACUAUUUGGAGAAAUGGACUUGGGAGGAGAUCCUUGAUGGGAAAGGACCCUGGGCAGAGCCAGGGGAGUAUUGCCGCCCCAAAGCCGAGCUGGAGGCAGCGAAAGCAGAGAGGCGGCAUUAUGAGGAGCUAGCACGGCAGAGCGGCUGGAAGCCCGAGAGGCAGCCCAAAAUAAUUCUUGGGGGGGGCACAGGGAGAGUGUGGCAGAGUCAGGAGUCAGACCUGAGCCAACUCCCCCUGUUUACCGUAGGGAGCCAUGGAUGGAAUUGGAGCUGUCGGAGAAGCUGAGUCUGAGAGUGUUGAGGAUGUAUUGGACAGAGUCGAGAAAAAGCUGUUGGUUUGGCAUAGUAUGCACGGCAUUCGCCCUGAGGAGCGUGUUAGCUGUCCGAUGCCACCUGUGUCAGUUCCUCGUACUUAGCCUGAAACGUGUGUUGGAGUUCCGGGGGAUUUGAUGCCGGCUAUACACACCAGGUCUCCAGUACACCUUCACAACCCGGUGUGUCCUGUUCCUUGCACUCACCCAGAGGUGCGUGUCCCCGGCCCGGUACCACCAGUGCCGGCUCCCCGCACCAGGCUGUCACUCCGUCCCAUCAACACAGGUGCUCCCGCCUGUCCGGCGCUGCCGGAGUCUCCCGCCUGUCUGGCGCUACCAGAGCUUCCGCCCCUCAUUCCAGAGGCGCCAGAGCCCCUCAUUCCAGAGGCGCCAGAGCUCCUCAGUCCAGCGCUGUCAGAGCUUUCCUCUCCAGCGUUGCAGGAGCUUCCCGUCUGCCCAGCGCCGCCUGAGCUGCCAGUCUGCCCGGCGCCGCCUGAGCCGCCCGUCUGCCCGGCGCCGCCUGAGCCGCCCGUCUGCCCGGCGCCGCCUGAGCCGCCCGUCUGCCCGGCGCCGCCUGAGCCGCCAGUCUGCCCGGCGCCGCCUGAGCCGCCAGUCUGCCCGGCGCCGCCUGAGCCGCCAGUCUGCCCGGCGCCGCCUGAGCCGCCAGUCUGCCCGGCGCCGCCUGAGCCGCCCGUCUGCCCGGCGCCGCCUGAGCCGCCCGUCUGCCCGGCGCCGCCUGAGCCGCCCGUCUGCCCGGCGCCGCCAGUCCGCCAGGAGCCGCCAGUCAGCCAGGAUCCGCCAGUCAGCCAGGAUCCGCCAGUCAGCCAGGAUCCGCCAGAACUGCCAGCAUCUACCAGAACUGCCAGUCAGCCAGGAUCUGCCAGAGCCGUCAGUCAGCCAGGAUCCUCCAGUCUGCCAGGAUCUUCCAGAUCCGCCAUUCAGCCAGGAUCCGCCAGUCAGCCAGGAUCCGCCAGUAAGCCAGGAUCUGCCAGAGCUGCCAGUCAGCCAGGAUCUGCCGGAACCGCCAGUCAGCCAGGAUCUGCCGGAACCACCAGUCAUCCAGGAUCUCCUGGGUCAGCCAGGAUCUGCCGGAACCACCAGUCAGCCAGGAUCUGCCGGAACCACCAGUCAGCCAGGAUCUGCCGGAACCGCCAGCCAGCCAGGGUGUGCCAGAGCCAUCAACCUGCCUGAGCUUCCUCUCAGUCCCGAGCUUCCUCUCAGUCCCGAGCUCCCCCUUUUUUUCUUGUUUUAGUGUUGGUCAGGACGUGAGCUGGGUGGGCAUUCUAUGUUGUGUGUCUGGUCUGUCUAUUUCUAUAUUUGGCCUGAUAUGGUUCUCAAUCAAAGGCAGGUGUUAGUCAUUGUCUCUGAUUGGGAACCAUAUUUAGGUAGCCUGUUUUGUGGGUGAUUGUUCCUGUCUUUGUGUUUGUGGCACCAGAUAGGACUGUUUCGGUUUUUUCACGUUUCUUGUUUUUGUAGAUUGUUGUAUUUUCAUCUUUAUUAAAGAUGUACAAAACUAACCACGCUGCAUUUUGGUCCGCCUCUCUU